GCUGUCUAUGAACCAGGAAGCAGGCUCUCAGCAGACGCUGAGUCUUCCAGUGCCUUGAUUUUAGAAUUCCUUGACUCCAGAACUAAAGCAAAUGUCUGCAGAAGAGUAUUUGGGAAUCAGUAAAGCAACUAUGGUUUCCUGAGAGACAGAUCCCAGAAAGAAACAGCUCCAGGAAACCAGGAAUCCACCAUUGAGAGAGAUACAGACAGAGCAUGAGCAGGAGAGUAGCAGAGAAAGAGGGAGGCACAGAAUCUGAAGCAGGAUCCAGACUCUGAUCUGUCAGCACAGAGCUCAACGUGAGUCUCUAACUCAGGAAUCACAAGAUCAAAACCUGAGCAGAAGUUGGAUGCUUAACUGUCUGAGCCACCCAGGCGCUCCAGGAUUCUGUUAUUUUUUAAUACCUGUCCACCUUCCACUUUCUGCAUCCAUCCAUGUCCAGGAUGUGCUGAUUUAUGGAGAGCUACUGUGGACACCCUCAUCUUCUGGCUUCUUGAUGGGCUGAAAAGAAUGGGGAAUGGGGAGAGAGUGCCAUCAUGGCACUAGACUUCUCCAUACUGGGCUUCUGGGUUGGCAGUGGCUACUUCACUUUUCUGGGAGUUUAUGUGCUGUGACUUUCUCUUAGAGCUACAGUUACUUUUAUAAGAUUUAGUGGUCCCUCUCCCCAGUGGCCCCUGCAGGCCUGUGGGAAAUUUGGAGUUCUUACUGUUGCUGGACUUGAAGUGUGUCACCAUUCUUUGUCAUCUUCUAUAACUCUGUUCAUGUUGAGUGAAUAGAUGUUUCAUUAAAGUUUCCUUCACUAUGCCACUUGUUUCCUGUCAGAGACUGAUGGUAACCAUCACAAUUGCAGGAAAUACCAGGGUAUAUAAGUGAUCAAAUAAAAGUCACAUAAGAAACA